GAAGAGAUGGCUCAGCAGUUAAGAGCACUGGCAGUUCUUCCAGAGGACCUGGGUUCAAUUCCCAGUAACCACA
rfam:Mesocricetus auratus contig010257, whole genome shotgun sequence.